GACGAACGCUGGCGGCGUGCUUAACACAUGCAAGUCGAACGGAAAGGCCCUGCUUUUGUGGGGUGCUCGAGUGGCGAACGGGUGAGUAACACGUGAGUAACCUGCCCUUGACUUUGGGAUAACUUCAGGAAACUGGGGCUAAUACCGGAUAGGAGCUCCUGCUGCAUGGUGGGGGUUGGAAAGUUUCGGCGGUUGGGGAUGGACUCGCGGCUUAUCAGCUUGUUGGUGGGGUAGUGGCUUACCAAGGCUUUGACGGGUAGCCGGCCUGAGAGGGUGACCGGCCACAUUGGGCUUGAGAUACGGCCCAGACUCCUACGGGAGGCAGCAGUGGGGAAUAUUGCACAAUGGGCGGAAGCCUGAUGCAGCAACGCCGCGUGCGGGAUGACGGCCUUCGGGUUGUAAACCGCUUUCGCCUGUGACGAAGCGUGAGUGACGGUAAUGGGUAAAGAAGCACCGGCUAACUACGUG
rnacentral:rRNA from 1 species